AGGACGAACGCUGGCGGCGCGCUUAAUACAUGCAAGUCGAGCGAGAACCGGACCUUCGGGUCCGGGGAAAGCGGCGAACGGGUGAGUAACACGUGGGUAAUCUGCCCUCGGUACUGGGAUAGCCCGGGGAAACCCGGAUUAAUACCGGAUAGCCUUUCGAGCUCUCGGGCUCGUUAGAAAAUGGUGGCUUCGGCUUCCGACUGAGGAUGAGCCCGCGGCGGAUUAGCUUGUUGGUGAGGUAAUGGCUCACCAAGGCUCCGAUCCGUAGCUGGUCUGAGAGGACGAUCAGCCACACUGGGACUGAGACACGGCCCAGACUCCUACGGGAGGCAGCAGUAGGGAAUCUUGCGCAAUGGGCGAAAGCCUGACGCAGCGACGCCGCGUGCGGAAGAAGGCCUUCGGGUGUAAACCGUCUUUACGAGGAGGACGAAGCCAGUACGGUUAACUACCCCAGAGGUCGACGGUACCUCCGAAGAACGAACGCCCCGGACUAACGUACCGUGACCAGCCAGCCCGGACGGUAAUCCGUAGAGCCGGCUGGACCG
rnacentral:rRNA from 1 species